rnacentral:hammerhead_ribozyme from 1 species
AUCUAUCUGACGAGUCCAAAAUAGGAUGAAACGGGCGUUCAGGGU